rnacentral:lncRNA from 1 species
GCAAGAGAAACCUCAAGAUGACAUAUUAAUAGGUGGUGCUAAGUCUCCGACUGCAGAUGAGAAUGUGGCUAAAGGGGUUGUCAUUGAAAUCGAGACAGAUGAGAAUGUGGCUCCUAGUUUAGUUGAUAGUGGAAAAAAUGUUCAAGAUUCUGGAACACAGGAAUUAGAUGACACACGAAAGAUUCAGGUGGGAGAUGUGGUAGAUCUGAAACCACAGGUGGAGAGUGAGGAUCUGAAGUCUCAGCUGGAGGGUGAGGAUCUGAAGUCUCACUUGGAGACUGACGAUCUGAACCCCGAGCUGGAGACUGACGAUCCGAAGCCCAAGCUUGAGAGUGACAAUGGAAAACCACGACUAGAUGAUGAGGAUGUGAAGUUUGAGGUU